UACAGAGGGUGCGAGCGUUGUCCGGAAUCACUGGGCGUAAAGGGCGCGUAGGUGGCUGUGUAAGCGUGCGGUGAAAGCCCGGGGCUCAACCCCGGGUCGGCCGUGCGGACUGCGCAGCUCGAGCAGAGUAGAGGCACGUGGAAUUCCGGGUGUAGCGGUGGAAUGCGUAGAGAUCCGGAAGAACACCGGUGGCGAAGGCGGCGUGCUGGGCUCUUGCUGACACUGAGGCGCGACAGCGUGGGGAGCAAAC
rnacentral:rRNA from 1 species